AUUGAACGCUGGCGGCAGGCUUAACACAUGCAAGUCGAGCGGAGAUGAGGUGCUUGCACCUUAUCUUAGCGGCGGACGGGUGAGUAAUGCUUAGGAAUCUGCCUAUUAGUGGGGGACAACAUUCCGAAAGGAAUGAUAAUACCGCAUCCGCCCUACGGUGGAAAGCAGGGGAUCUUCGGAGCUUGAGCUAAUAGAUGAGCGUAAGUCGGAUUAGCUAGUUGGUGGGGUAAAGGCCUACCAAGGCGACGAUCUGUAGCGGGUCUGAGAGGAUGAUCCGCCACACUGGGACUGAGACACGGCCCAGACUCCUACGGGAGGCAGCAGUGGGGAAUAUUGGACAAUGGGCGGAAGCCUGAUCCAGCCAUGCCGCGUGUGUGAAGAAGGCCUUUUGGUUGUAAAGCACUUUAAGCGAGGAGGAGGCUACCUGGAUUAAUACUCUAGGAUAGUGGACGUUACUCGCAGAAUAAGCACCGGCUAACUCUGUGCCAGCCGCCGCAGUAAAAC
rnacentral:rRNA from 1 species